UGAAUGGGCAAGUCCUCAGUGGUCCCC
rnacentral:piRNA from 1 species